CCCUGGUAGUCCACGCAGUAAACGAUGAAUACUAAUUGUCCUUGGCAGAAUGGUGCCUGGGUGAUACAGCGAAAGCUGUUAUGUAUUCCACCUGCGGAGUACGCCGGCAACGGUGAAACUCAAAGGAAUUGACGGGGGCCCGCACAAGCCGAGGAACAUGUGGUUUAAUUCGAUGAUACGCGAGGAACCUUACCCGGGCUCAAACGACACAGGAAUACUUUUGAAGGGAGGUAGCCAGCAAUGGCCUGUGUCGAGGUGCUGCAUGGUUGUCGUCAGCUCGUGCCGUGAGCGGUCGGGUUAAGUCCCAUAACGAGCGCAACCCCUACCGUUAGUUGCCAUCAGGUCAAGCUGGGCACUCUGGCGGGACUGCCGGUGUAAGCCGAGAGGAAGGUGGGGAUGACGUCAAAUCAGCACGGCCCUUACGUCCGGUGCUACACACGUGUUACAAUGGUAGGUACAGAGGGCAGCUACCCAGUGGAUGUGAUGCGAAUCUCGAAAGCCUAUCUCAGUUCGGAUCGGAGGCUGAAACCCGCCUCCGUGAAGUUGAAUUCGCUAGUAAUCGCGCAUCAGCCACGGCGCCGUGAAUACGUUCCCGGGCCUUGUACACACCGCCCGUCAAGCCAUGAAAGCUGGGAGUGCCUCAAGUACGUGAGCUCAAG
rnacentral:rRNA from 1 species